CCCGGUCCAAUCCCACCUACCACUUCAGUUUUUUUAGCAUACCAAAAUUUUCUAGCCUAACAAUUCCACCGGUUCUCUCCACAUCCCUCCUCACCUCAUGUAUCCCACGACGAUGUGAUGACCGAGGAAUAACGCAGAUCUCAGGCCAUCACCUGCCGACCUCUCAUGUGCGGCCCGGAGGUCGACCCGUCCUGCUCCUCUUGUCCGCAGCGCGAGCUGCUCGUGGAGGCUCAGCUGUUCCUCCAUGAUGGCGACGUUGAGGGCUGGUGGAGGCCAAUCAUCAUGGACGUGUCUCGCUUUGUGCAAGUCGAGGUGGUCGCCGAGGGCGCCGCGGCACUUCCAGGAUCGUGAUCUACCACUACGACGAAGCCAUGAAGCUUCACCUCCGAGCAAAGGCCAGAUGUAAUACUUGCCUGUUCCCACGCACUGCUUGUUGGAUUUUUUUGGCUACCUUUUGUUGCUAAGACUAGACCUAAGCAUAUGAGUUAUGUCAAAUUCAGCGCCGAUCAGCAAUAUAUGUGGACGAUAUGAUGAAGGUCGUUGCAUGCUGCAGCUAACUCUGACCUAGCAGGACACGUUAGUAAUUUAGUAUGCAUAUGUUGUCUUCCUAAUGUACAAGCUGACAAGUAGUUGAAUGCCAUGACAUGAUGUUUCCUUCGUA